rnacentral:rRNA from 1 species
GGGGAAUCUUGCACAAUGGGGGAAACCCUGAUGCAGCGACGCCGCGUGAACGAUGAAGCCCUUCGGGGUGUAAAGUUCUUUCGACGGGGACGAUAAUGACGGUACCCGGAGAGGAAGCUGCGGCUAACUACGUGCCAGCAGCCGCGGUAAUACGUAGGCAGCAAGCGUUGUUCGGAAUUACUGGGCGUAAAGAGUGCGUAGGUGGUUGGCCAAGUUUGGUGUGAAAUCUCCCGGCUUAACUGGGAGGGUGCGCCGAAAACUGGUUGACUAGAGUGUGGGAGAGGGACGUGGAAUUCCUGGUGUAGCGGUGAAAUGCGUAGAUAUCAGGAGGAACACCUGCGGUGUAGACGGCGUCCUGGACCAUGACUGACACUGAGGCACGAAAGCGUGGGGAGCAAACA